UACGUAGGGUGCGAGCGUUGUCCGGAAUUAUUGGGCGUAAAGAGCUCGUAGGCGGUUUGUCACGUCUGCUGUGAAAUCCCGAGGCUCAACCUCGGGCCUGCAGUGGGUACGGGCAGACUGGAGUGCGGUAGGGGAGAAUGGAAUUCCUGGUGUAGCGGUGGAAUGCGCAGAUAUCAGGAGGAACACCGAUGGCGAAGGCAGUUCCCUGGGCCGUAACUGACGCUGAGGAGCGAAAGCGUGGGGAGCGAACAGG
rnacentral:rRNA from 1 species